UACGGGGGGAGCAAGCGUUGUUCGGAUUUACUGGGCGUAGGGCGCGUAGGCGGCGCCGCAAGUCGACUGUGAAAUCUCCGGGCUUAACCCGGAAAGGUCAGCCGAUACUGCGGGGCUAGAGUGCAGAAGGGGCAACUGGAAUUCUCGGUGUAGCGGUGAAAUGCGUAGAUAUCGAGAGGAACACCUGCGGCGAAGGCGGGUUGCUGGGCUGACACUGACGCUGAUGCGCGAAAGCUAGGGGAGCGAACGGG
rnacentral:rRNA from 1 species